GGCUGGGAAGAAGUCCUUGCUUCUCAAGGCCACGUACCGGCCGCGUCCUUCCACCCUUGCCCUUUAAACCACAGAUGCCAAAUGAUACGCCAACAGACACUACAUUCCCCAGCAGCUGCUGCCAGAGCCCUCUUGUAGCUUCUUUAUUUUCUGUUUCUUUCCAGCUUUCCUACCCUCCUAUCCCCCCUUGUGUUUGGGCCACAAUUUUGAAAUAAUUUUUAUUAUAGGUAUGUGCUGCCAAAGCCAGAUUUUUAUAAGGUAAAAUAAAUUAAGAAUUUAAACAGUAAAAGCCAGUGUCUCAAAAUGUCAGCAUUAAAAUGUGAAGGGGACAGCAGGGUGUGAACCGGAAACACACAUUGCCAAACAGUUGCCAACUGAACUGCUGCUUCUCAUGGUCCGUUCUUUUCUUUGCCCUUAAGGUCAAUGCCAGUGUCCAGACGAGCAGUGUAGAAAAGCUCCCUGUGUGGUUUGUCGUGAGGUCUGCUUGUAUCUCUUCACUGGCGUUAGUUUCAUUAGCUCUUUAUUCUCCUUACGUUCGAGUGAAUCUGCCAAGAACACUGGUGGAUAGUAUUAUCCUAACACUUUUGGUUUGGGGGCGGGGAGGGGGCAGGGAAUAGUGAGCUGGCUUUACCACCUUCAGGAUCUCGAAUUGGGCGCUUGAACCUAAGAAAGAUUGUGGACUUAUCAAAAGUCACCGCUCAGUGUUCCGUCAAGCAUGUAUUUAUGUGACGAUCAUACUAGGAGGGAUGUUUGGAAUUCUCCAUGUGCAAUUUGUCCGCAGAUGCAAACUGUGCCGAACGUGUGUGAGUGAGCCUGUCAAGCAGCCUGCAUCAGUGUGUGAUUUAAGUAGAUGGCGAGCGCUCUAAGGCUGCCGGGAAGUCAGACCUCGAUGCUGGUCUCAUUAGCGCUUGGCACUAAUCUCAACUCCAUAGACAUCACUUUUCUUGAAUAGCAAAGCUGGGAGAGUGACCAGCUCACUGUAUGAACACGGACAUUGCUGACUGGUAAUGAAGUGCUCUCAUGUGUUACUCUCCUGGCUCUUUCAUCCCUUGCUCUAGAAAGCCCCUGUAAUUUAAUUAACAGACUGCCUGUAGGUAUAGUGCAAUUAUGAAUGCUCUGAUCGUUGUACAUACAUCUCUCUUGAUAUUGCAACAUCCAUACUGGCUUUGUAAUCAUUAAUUUUUUGGCAGAUUGAAUGUGCUGUAUUGAUAUGUAUCUAUGUAAUUGUAUGUCUUAUAGCUAAUUCACAUUUUGAAUAAUGUUAUUUUAUUUACUUUUUUAAGAGAGGAGAAUGUAAAUUUGUCAGUUUAUUUCUGACUAGGGAUAUUUUUUUCCAUUU
rnacentral:lncRNA from 1 species